UCUUAAGUAGUUUAUUUAAAAUGUUGAUUUGUGGUGUCAGAGAUGUAAGUUAUUACCUUGGGUA
rnacentral:tRNA from 2 species